UCCCUGGUGGCUCAGUGGUGGAGAAUCUGCCUGCCAAUGCAGGCAGAUUGUGUUGGGUUCAAUACCCAACCCAGGAA
rfam:Ovis aries breed Texel chromosome 15, whole genome shotgun sequence.